rnacentral:lncRNA from 10 species
AGAUUUAUUAGAUUUACCAGAAAAUACAUAGUACAAGAGAAAUAAAAACAAGGUUAACAUCAGGUCAAGAGGUUUCGACUCCAGUCCAGUUAGUUUUUCCCAAAAUCAUUUUUCGGCUCCUGUUCUGUGGCUGGCUUGCUGGAUCCAGUUCCUGAUGCCCAGAAAACAUCCAGGAAAGAGAAUCAGAGGCCCUGGAGGAGUCAGAGCUACAGCCCUGGGUGGCUUCUGCAGUUCUGCGUGUUAGUUUGAGAAACAAGCAUAAAAAUGGUAAAAACUAAAAAAUGAGUUGAUACGUGAUCUGAAAGAUCUCAGCAUUUGAGGCAAAGACACUUCCUCCUUGGUAAAACUUCAUCUUUCUGGUACAUGCCUCCCAGAUCGUCGAUGGAACUCUUACCCACAUGAGCACAACUCUUCCUUUAUAGAGUAUUGACUAGGAAUGAUAAUUGUCCAAGAAAAGUCUUCAGUGAUAAAAUACACAAUUACUUGUAUAUUUCAGCUUUGUUCUGUUGGUAAUUAUUUGAAUGAUAAGUAAGAUAUUUGAUGAUAUUUCUUUUGUGUUUGGCUCAUCAUAGAUGGUGUCCUUCAAU